rnacentral:rRNA from 1 species
CUACGGGACGCUGCAGUGAGGAAUUUUGCGCAAUGGGGGGAACCCUGACGCAGCAACGCCGCGUGAGUGAUGAAGGCUUUCGGGUCGUAAAGCUCUGUCAAGUGGGAAGAACCUAUGCAGUGUUAAUAUCACUGUAUACUGACGGUACCACUGAAGGAAGCACCGGCUAACUCCGUGCCAGCAGCCGCGGUAAUACGGGGGGUGCAAGCGUUAUUCGGAAUCAUUGGGCGUAAAGGGCACGUAGGCGGCUUGGUAAGUCAGAUGUGAAAGCCCGGGGCUUAACCCCGGAAGUGCAUUUGAUACUGUCAGGCUUGAGUAUGGGAGAGGGAAGUGGAAUUCCUGGUGUAGAGGUGAAAUUCGUAGAUAUCAGGAGGAACACCGGUGGCGAAGGCGACUUCCUGGACCAAUACUGACGCUGAGGUGCGAAGGCGUGGGUAGCAAACAGGAUUAGAUACGCUUGUAGUC